UCAAGAGUCAAAUGGUCAACUGACUGAGCCAUCCAGGAGCCCCGUUAGUCAAGUUUUCGUGAACAUUUGUGUACACGUUUUGUGUGGACAUAUGUUUUCAACGUGGGACGAUUCUGAAGUGGGGAGUGUAUUUGGAGCCUGAGGGCAGAGUGGGCUGUGGGGAGGCCCGUGCACGCAUUUGCUGUUACCAGGCCAGUCUGGGGCAGACGUUAUGUGCUUCAUUUCUUUCAAAUAACCCUACAAGGCAGGGUCUGUUAUUUCCCCCUUUUUUUUUACAGGUGAGGGUACUCAGACUCAGUGAAAUUAAGUAAGCUGCACAACCAGGAAAUGUCCCGCUCUUAGCACGUUAGCAUGCUUCUGCUCCCGGGAGACCAGAGCCGAGUUUGGUGAAAUUUCAGGAGGUUUUAGCCAAUGGCGAUCCAAAGACAAUAAAUAUUACUUCGUGGGAAGGUC